rnacentral:rRNA from 1 species
CUAGCUACAGGCUUAACACAUGCAAGUCGAGGGGUAGCAGGGUAGCAAUACCGCUGACGACCGGCGCACGGGUGAGUAACACGUAUCCAACCUUCCCAUAACUCGGGGAUAGCCUUUCGAAAGAAAGAUUAAUACCCGAUAGUACUUAAGAAAGGCAUCUUUUUUAAGUUAAAGAUUUAUUGGUUAUGGAUGGGGAUGCGUUCCAUUAGAUAGUUGGUGAGGUAACGGCUCACCAAGUCUUCGAUGGAUAGGGGUUCUGAGAGGAAGGUCCCCCACAUUGGUACUGAGACACGGACCAAACUCCUACGGGAGGCAGCAGUGAGGAAUAUUGGUCAAUGGGCGAGAGCCUGAACCAGCCAAGUAGCGUGAAGGAUGACGG